rnacentral:lncRNA from 1 species
AACGAGCCUUACAUCGUCUCUAAGAAAAAUGCCUACAAAAUCGACUUGUCACAACACUUGGGGGCAUACAUCCAACAUUCAAGCCGAGAAGAUCUAGGUGAUACUUAAACAAAGUCGAGGCGAGUUUCUUCAUGGAGGAUGGAUUGGUGUAAAUUAUUCAUUUAUCUUAAUCAAAGAGUCAAAGAUUCAUUGUUUAGUUAUAUGCAAAUCUUUUUUAAGUUUUAAUUAUGUUUGAAAAUACAGGUAGAGUCAAG